rnacentral:tRNA from 1 species
CGGGGAGUGGCUCAGUUUGGCUAGAGCGUUUGGUUCGGGACCAAAAGGUCGGCGGUUCAAGUCCGCCCUCCCCGACCA